GAUGAACGCUGGCGGCGUGCCUAAUACAUGCAAGUCGAGCGAACAGACGAGGAGCUUGCUCCUCUGACGUUAGCGGCGGACGGGUGAGUAACACGUGGAUAACCUACCUAUAAGACUGGGAUAACUUCGGGAAACCGGAGCUAAUACCGGAUAAUAUAUUGAACCGCAUGGUUCAGUAGUGAAAGACGGUUUUGCUGUCACUUAUAGAUGGAUCCGCGCCGGAUUAGCUAGUUGGUAAGGUAACGGCUUACCAAGGCAACGAUGCGUAGCCGACCUGAGAGGGUGAUCCGCCACACUGGAACUGAGACACGGUCCAGACUCCUACGGGAGGCAGCAGUAGGGAAUCUUCCGCAAAGGGCGAAAGCCUGACGGAGCAACGCCGCGUGAGUGAUGAAGGUCUUCGGAUCGUAAAGCUCUGUUAUUAGGGAAGAACAAAUGUGUAAGUAACUAUGCACGUCUUGACGGUACCUAAUCAGAAAGCCACGGCUAACUACGUG
rnacentral:rRNA from 1 species